AGAUUUAGACUAAAGAAAACGCUAGAUUUUUUGGCUAAGAACGGAAGCCAUUUCCCAUUUUUUAGCUGAAGCUCUCACCUCUCUUUCUCAAUUAGAAAGAGAAAGAUGACCCUACACCCCAAAAGAAAACGGCAGCCCCCCGCCCCCAAUUCCCAAGAAACAACCUAGACCCUAGACAAAAGCAAACAACGGCUUUUCUUCCCAAUUUUUGGAACAGAAACACAUUUUUUUCAAUUCAAAAGGCAAAAGCAGUAGAGCCGUGAGGAACGCCGAUACACUUUUUCAACCAGAAUUUCAUGCAAUCCCAGAAUUCCGAGCCGCUCGAGUAACCAAUUCGAAUUCCUGUACAAUCACAGAAUUCCGGCAAAUAUUCAAUUCGAAUCCCUGUAAUUUCCGGUAUUCAUCUUUAUAAUAUCUCAAGUAUUAUACUUUGUAUAUCAUAAGUCAAUGGCUUAUUUGUUAUGUUUCAUCUUGUUUUGAUAAUUUUAGUUAUUUAUUUAUUUUUGCUUAAUUUGUGCUUAUUAUGUGGAAUAUAUUAAUAAUGAUUUUUGAUUUUUUUCUUUCUUUUUUUGGAUUUCGUAAGAGUGAUAUGUGAUAAUGAUAUGUGCUAAAUUCCUUCUCCUCUAUACAAUAACAAGUUCAUUCUCAUGUCUACUGUGUCAAUGCCUUCAUGCUCAACUGCUUUGGUAUUUUACACUAUUUCUUUUAUGAUUGUGUGUUUGAGUUGAUUUAUUAACUAAUGAGCCAUUAAUCUUUGUUUAAAGUGGAUGAAUUUCAUUUUGCUGUAUUGGACUUUCACAAUAUCUAAUUGUUUUGGGUGGGACAUUUGCAUUUAUACCCGUUUUUUGUGUCACAUUUUAACUUGUGUCCGCUUUGUAAAAAACAAAUUGCAAGCAUACCCUCUUUUUCGCAUAACUUCAGCACACGGGGCUGAAGUAGCAAAGACAAUCACACAAAAUUUCAGCAUUCUAGUAUCCGGGCCUGAAGUUCAGCUCUAAAACUGAAGUUUAUGUGUUGUAACUGGAAAACUUCAGCUCUAGAGCUGAAGUUUUUGUGUUGUAAAUUGGAAACUUCAGCUCUAGUGCUGAUGUUUUCGUGUAGUAAGUGAGAAACUUCAGCUCUAGAGCUUAAGUUUUCGUAUAGUAACUGAGAAACUUCAGCUUUAGAGCUGAAGUUUUAGAAAUUCAUAAUCUAAUGUUGACAAUGGUUCUGUCAUUGUUGCAUAUGAGGCUAAGACUAGGCUUAAGAGAUCAAAUAGUACAUCUGAUUUAGUUAUCCAAUCAAAUACUAAAGAUUUACUUAUGAGCAAAGGUGGUGGAUCCAUUAUAUCAGAAUUCUAUAGUGCAUAAUAUAGGAGAAACAAUGCAGUACCCAGCACUAUGAGUGCUUCAGACAUGGUGAUUUCUAUCACUUGCAUGGAGCAUAGCACAAUUAGGAUGGAUAGCAGGUCCUUUGGCUAUUCUCUUCUGUGCAGCAGUUACUCUUUUUGCAAUAUCCAUACUUUGUGAUUGCUAUAAAUCUCCAGAUUCUGCAACACAGAUUUAUAGGAAGACAAUAGAAGAAUUAAUAUUUAAAAAGGCAACGGGAUGGUCGUCCUCUUGCUUGACAACUCAGUCAAUUGCUUGUUUGCAUAUUUCAGCUAUUUAUUUCAGAAGAAGAAGAAAACAAAGGAGGAGGAGAAGGAAGAGAAAGGGGGCUGAAAUUAUUUAAGAAGUGGGUACAAGUUAAAAGUUUUUUAAAAAAUGGGUAUAGGUUAAAUGGGGCGACCAAUUUGGGCGCCCCGUGCAAUUUUUACGUUUUGGGCUAAUAGGGGG
rnacentral:lncRNA from 1 species